CUGUAACGUUUCAGAAGUGCGUCUUGCUUCACAGUCCGAGGGUGCCUUUUCCCCGUGCAGCAUGUCAGGGAAGAUCGUCAUGCAGUUCGUUCUUCUGUGCAUGAUGGUUUCGCUCAUUUCUAUGAACCGCGGGACCCAGUUCCCUCCGUCUCUCCCGCGGACGGGCUACCACCAGUUCCAUAUCCUGGGCUGCAUCGGCGUCUGCAUGAGGAAGGGGCCGUUCGGCUGCGAGAGGGACUGGGGCUGCAUGUUCAGGCGCUCUUGACGGAGACGCGGCCAGGGAAAAGAAGCGCCCGCGGUCAGAGGAACGCACGAAGGAGUCAGCAGCUGAACCUCUACUGUCAGACAGCAAUAAAACGAAAUAUUUUU